rnacentral:rRNA from 1 species
UAGUCCACACCGUAAACGAUGAGAGCUAGUUGUCUGCAAGCAUGCUUGUAGGUGACGCAGCUAACGCAUUAAGCUCUCCGCCUGGGGAGUACGGUCGCAAGAUUAAAACUCAAAGAAAUUGACGGGGACCCGCACAAGCGGUGGAGUAUGUGGCUUAAUUCGAUGCAACGCGAAGAACCUUACCUAGGCUUGACAUGCCGUCAUAGACUGUGAAAGCAGUUGUCAGUUCGGCUGGACGUGCACAGGUGCUGCAUGGCUGUCGUCAGCUCGUGUCGUGAGAUGUUGGGUUAAGUCCCGCAACGAGCGCAACCCUUGUCUUUAGUUGCCAUCAUUAAGUUGGGCACUUUAAAGAGACUGCCGGUGACAAACCGGAGGAAGGUAAGGAUGACGUCAAGUCAGCAUGCCCCUUAUGCUCUGGGCUACACACGUGCUACAAUGGCCGUGACAAAGAGUUGCUACUUUGUGAAAACAAGCUAAUCUA